GGGUCAACGGUCCAGGUAGGGCCAGCACCACCACUGUGGAGACAGACAGAAAAAAGAAUGCAAACCAAGCCCUAUCUGAUGUUCAAGAUGAACCUGGAGUUCAAGAUGCCCUCCUUUGCAGGAGCUCAGUCACACAGCCUACUCUCUGUAACUUUUCAAGUCUAAAAUAAACUAAAAAUCACUCAGGAAGCAGGCACCAACUGCUGGCUAGGGAAGACAGGAGUGAGUGUGUGUGUGUGUGUGUGUAUGUGUGUGUGUGUGUGUGUGUGUGCUCACUCCAUCAGCACUGAAUUCUAAAGGCCCUGAAAAUGAGACAAUGAUUUAUUUCUUACAAAGGGAGAGAGUGAAGACCCCCAAGAUAGACAAGUUUACUUUACACAGCCAUACCACCAAAAGGGACAGUGUCAGACAGUUGAUUCCAAUCCUGUCACCACCACCUUCUUGCUGUGUAAUCUUAUGUACAUAACUUAAACUUUUGAUUUCGUAAAACAACAACAAUAAUAAUUUUGGGUUUUGUUUUGUUUUUGAGAAAAAUUAUUAUUUUUAUUUAUUUAUCCAUCCAACACAGGGUUUCUCUGUGUAGCCCUGGCUAUCCUGGAACUCAGUAUGUAGACCAGGCUGGUCUCAAACUCCCAGAGAUCUGCCUGCCUCUGCCUCCUGAGUGCUGGGAAUAAAGGUGUGUGCCACCAUCUCUGGCUGAGAGAAAUUCUUGCUGUGUAUCCCAGGCUGGCCUUGCACUUGUAGUUCUCCUGCCUCAGCCUCUCUGGUGCUGGGAUUACAGGAAUACCCCAUAUUCAGUAUAAAAACAAUCUUUCUAAGGUAGAGGAGUGUGUAACCUGCCAUUUGGAAGGCUGAGGUAUCAGGAUUGAGAAAGAAAGGAAAAGGAAGGGAAGAAAGAAAAGAAGUGACUUUGUUUAUUUAAAUGGUCAACCUGACAACAUACAUAAAGAUAUGUUAUACAGAUUGAGCAGGUUAUAUUUAGGAAUGUAUAAGUAUAUGCAAGUAUGUAUGUAGUAAAAAUUAAUGGGAAAAGGCCAUGAAUUUAAAAGAGAUCAAGGAGAAGUUUAUGAGAAAGUGUGGAAGGAGGGAAGAGGGAGAAGAUAAAACAGGAAAAGAACUAGAAUUCAAUGACUGACACAUAGCCACAUACAUGUUCAGCAAGAAACUCAACAUGAUAAAGGACCACAAAGCAAUAGAACUUAGAAGACAGAAGUAGCAAGAGCCAGGACCCAACAAAUGGAACUGGCCUGUAGCAGAUCAUCCAGUCAGUUCAGGGCUGCCCCUACAUCCUUGCUGAAGAAGACCCUCUGUAGGGUGGCACCUCCUGAUUUCUGCAUAGAUUUGGCCCUAGAGAGAUGUCCUUCUAUCCUGAGACCUGAUCCAAACAAUCUACAUUGAGCCUUAGACUCCACGGGAGAGGCAGAGCAAGGGACUCCCUGACCCACCUGCUGCAUCAUUCUGAGCCUGUAUCUGCUCAAUGCCCCAUCCUAGUUUGUUCCUUUACUGUAAUGAACACUGUAACCGAAUGCAAUUUGGGAGAAAAAGGCUUAUUUCAUCUUACAGUCCAUUAAGGGAAGCCAGGACAGGAAUUCAAGGCAGGUAUCUGGGGUAGUAACUGAAGCAGAGGCUGUAAAGGACUGCUGCUCACUGGCUUGUUCUCCGUGGCUUAGUUAGAAUGCUUCCUUCCUUCCUUCCUUCCUUCCUUCCUUCCUUCCUUCCUUCCUUCCUUCCUUCCUUCCUUCCUUCUUAUUUUCUUAAGAUUUUGUUUAUUUAUUUUAUGUGAGUACACUGUCGCUGUCUUCAGACACACCAGAAGAGGCCAUCAGAUUCCAUUGCAGGUGGUUGUGAGCCACCAUGUGAUUACUGGGAAUUGAACUCAGGACCUUUGGAACAGAAGUCAGUGCUUUUAACCACUGAGCCAUCUCUUCAGCCCCUAGAAUGCUUUCUUACACAACUCAGGACCACCUGCCCGAGGAGGGGGAGGCAUAGAGUGCCAAACCCUCACAUAUUGAGUCAUUAGUCAAAAAAAAAAAAAAAAAAAUGUCGGUCGGCCUUGCCCACAGGCUUUUCUGAAAGGCUCAGUUCCUCUGCAGAAGUUCCUUCUCAAUAGGUGACUCUACUUUGUACUAAGUUGACAGACUAACCACCCUAGCUGCUUUGUGGCAUCCACCCUCUUCAGGUACAGGAUCAUGGCAACCCUGCACAGGAGAUGGGGCAAGGCAGGCAGACAGACCUUUCAGUCAACACGAGGAAGCCCUUGCAAGAGCUUCCCAUAGACUGUGCCUCUGACUUCCAGUUGUAUGCUAGCGAGGUUUACCUCAGUGGGUUUGAGGCCUCGACAUCCUGGGAUUUGGGAAGGAUUAGUUUAUUGUAAUUAGUGGUUUAAAGAGAUAUGAGAUAGCAAGACGGGAUCAGGGGGUCACAUCUAGCCUCAGAGCUGCCUACCAGCCUGACCAUCAGCCAGUCUAGCUUGAACGGACACAUGAGGGGGAAAUAGGCAGGGUGUGGUGGUUGACAGGGGCUCUUCCUUAAGGCAGCUUGACUUGCAUCCAUGAUCCGUUCCCCAGUCAGCCAUGAGUCUCAAAAAUCCCCUGCUGGAGAGAGACUCAGAACAAGAGAAGGGAUAGAACACGCCCCCUCCCAGCAAAAGCAAACAAAACACAAGUUUCUUGGAAUGUAGCUCUCUCUGAAAGGCCUCCAGGGGCCCUUGGCCGGUCAGAGCUCCGUGCACAACUACUCAUACAAUCCUUUAGAAUAGGAUUCUGCUUCUCUGGGUUUGACCGCGUCACAAAUAUUUAUACAAGUACUAGAUGUGGUAAAGUUUAUUAUUCUAUUGCACUGAAUGUGAUCAGAUACCAUUAACCCCAAGUGGCUGGGGUUGCUGGUAAAGACAGAGUGCAGCUUUGAUGAUUGCUGGGGGUACUUCCUCACGGUAUGAGUCCCAGGUACACCAGGUUGGCGGGCCAUAUAGAGGACAGAUCGGUGCCCAAACCUCUUUAGUUAAGUCAAUCAGCCCAGCACCUCUCCUGGUGUCUAGGCCACCCCCAUCCCAGGAUGCUGCCUCAUCCAUGGCCACCAUCCAGGGUACAAACAAGGCUUUCAAGCAGGAGUCCGGCCAGCAGAACCCCCAUGCCCUAGGAAACCCAUUUCUAACUGGCAGAGAAGAAAGAGGGAGGGAGUGCCCACAGCCUAGGUCCUGUGAGAUUACACAGCAAUCCUUUGGCCUUUCCACCAUACUUGAUUGAUGAGCUUAUGUUCUACCAGAGAGUGGGGAGUGUGUGUGUGUGUGUGUGUGUGUGUGUGUGUGUGUGUGUGA